GAUCACAAGCCACUCCUAAUGAUCUGAAUUUGAAUAAUCUGUUUGAAUUGAUAACUUUACCAGUAUCAGAUUCACCCUUUGGAAGUAGGACUUUUAUCCGGUUGAAAUCGGCACUUAAUAGGGAUGGGAGUUCCUUUAUCCAAAGUGAUGACCUCUUUUCCAUGGAAUUUCAAUUAUCUUGUCGGACACUGAAAGACCCAACACAAACGAAGUUUUUCCUGAUGCAGCUGGAGAUUCGAGAUAUAAAUGAUAACGCACCCAUAUUUGGAAAUGC